rnacentral:rRNA from 1 species
UACGUAGGGUGCAAGCGUUGUCCGGAAUUAUUGGGCGUAAAGAGCUCGUAGGCGGUUUGUCGCGUCUGCUGUGAAAACUCAGGGCUUAACUCUGAGCUUGCAGUGGGUACGGGCAGACUAGAGUGCGGUAGGGGAGACUGGAAUUCCUGGUGUAGCGGUGAAAUGCGCAGAUAUCAGGAGGAACACCGGUGGCGAAGGCGGGUCUCUGGGCCGUAACUGACGCUGAUGAGCGAAAGCGUGGGUAGCAAACAGG